rnacentral:miRNA from 1 species
CCAAGUCUUGGGGAGAGUUGAG